CGUGAACCCAUUCCCGCGCUCCCCUUCGCUACUCCAGCAGCCCAGCAGGAAAGGGAGAACAUGGUGGGGAAGAAGAGGGGUAUUAUCUCCCCGCUGGACCAUCUCGCUGGGCUGCUGGAGGUGCGCGUGGUGAGGGGAGUGGACCUCGCCAUCUGCGACCUCCGAUCCAGCGACCCCUACGUCGUCCUUCGCAUCGGCAAGGCGCUGAAAGUGAAGACGCGAGUGGUCAAGAAGAGCAUCAAUCCGGAAUGGAACGAAGACCUCACCCUCUCCCGUGGAUGUGCGUCCUUGGUUCCAUUGAAAUUCUUUUCAGCAGACAUUGUCCCAUAUGGGUAUCCUAAAUAUGCUUACUGGUAUCGACACAAGCUUCACUGUCACCUCUAAGGCCACUGAUGAAGAAGGAAGUAUUUAGGGGAUCGUCGCAGCAGCGUGAGCUGGAACUACAAGUAACAACUCUUAAACAACAGCUCCAAGAAGCUGAGAUCCAUUAUAAGCAAGACAUGAUUCUUCUCCCAAGUUUUCAUUUUGCGCUCUAUGCUAAUUCACAUGUUUGACACUGCUGAUUUUUGUUUAUGUUACUUGAAAGUUUAAAGAUCUCUUGUGUCAUAUAAUUUAUGCUAUAGACAUGAAUCAACUAGACAAUGUAAAACAUUAAAGGCACUAUAAAACAUAAUGAGCACUAUGUAUCAGGUUUUGAUCCAGAGUAGAAAUUGAUCACUAUGCAACUUCAAAAUAUAAGCUUAAAUCCAAUGAGAUACAUGAGUUCAGAGGAAUUUUCAUGUAGUUUGGCAGAUAAUAAGGUCUCACAAAUGCAUUAUAUUUAUGUUUGGCCCAAUGAAGCAGCCC